CGGCCUUUUACAUACCUUUCAUUUAUUAUGAUGGGAUAUAAAGUGAUGCGCAUGGUAAACGACUCAAAUAUUUUGUGUAUACAUCGCUAUCCCUCCGUGUAGCCCACACUGGAAGAAAGCCUGGUUCCUAAGCUUCUUGUUGAUAUCAAACAUGGACGACAAUUCAUGAAACAUCGUUCUUCUUGCAAUGUUUUACAGCCUAUCGGCAGGGUAUUUAUGGGUAAAAUAUCAACAUUUUGUCCCGUAAAUUGGAACAAGUUAAAAAAAUCGUAUCACUAUGAAAUUAUGCAGACAAGCAGGGGACAACAUAUAUUUUACGACGCGAAGUCUGCAAAUUUCAUGAAGGGUUCGAGGGAUACAUGCGGCCAGAGCAAAAUGUACGUUUUGAACGAUUUUCUCAAGUUUUACUAUACUUUAUUAUACGCCGAUGUACUAUGAAGUGAACUUGAAUAAUGGAACAACUUAUAGGUAAGAUUCCGAUGCGAAACUUUUUUGUUUUACGGUCCAGAUAUAGUUUAGGCCGAUGGAAUUGACAACUUGCAUGUUAGACAAAUUUUUGAUCUAGCCGAUCUAGGCACAAAAAAAGUAAAUUCCCGUUAAGAACUUGUUAAAAUUAGUAAACUUGCAAAAUUUGGUUGCGAAAGGUUGUAAAGCUUGGAAAAUAUAGCUUUGCAAAGUUUCAAUAUUUUCAGUAUAUUUGUAUUACGUGCGGUAAUGGGUCAUUCCAUUUAUUAUCCGCACCCCCCCUAUGGAUGAGCUCUGGUAAAAAUGUUACCUGUAGGAAUCGGAUUUCAGAGAAGUACCCUGUUGGAAUCGACAGUAUCAAUCUAAACCCUAGGAAUGCUGCUAAUUGCCAAUAUCUCACUGGUAGGAAUCUGCUAAUUGCCAAUAUCUCACCGGUAGGAAUCUGCUAAUUCCCAAUGUCAGACCGGGGGGGGGGGUGAGAAUAAUAAAUGAAAUUAUUAUGAUUCUCAUAAUAAAUAUUUGGCAAUAUAGUAUGCUACACCUUGACGGCAAUAUCUGACCGGUAGGAAUCGGGCCAAAGGAAUCUGUUAAUUCCCAAUAUCUGACCAGUAGGAAUCCCCUAAGUCCUAAUAUCUGACCGGUAGGAAUCCGCUCAUCCAUAGGGGGGGUGCGGAUAAUAAAUGGAAUGACCCAUUGUUACCAUUUUUGAGCCGAAAAUGGUAACAAUUUCCGCUCGUAAUACAAAUAUACUGAAAAUUUGCAAAUUUCGCAAGGCUAUAGUUUCUAAGCUUUACAACAUUUCGCAACUGAAUUUUGCACUUUUACUAAUUUCAGUAUGUUCUUUUUAGCUGUGGUGUUUGAUUCCCUUUUCUCUGCUUAGAUUAAAAUUUAGUCUAACAUGCAAGUUGUCCAUUAAGGUAUCAGUUUACCGUCACCUAAAAUUUCAAAAGUUGAUGCGGAUUUUUUUCAUUAUUCAUUAUUCAUUAUUUUUCACGAUUUGAAUUUGUCAAAUUUUGACCUGAAAAUCCAAAUUUUGACCGAAAAAAUCCAAGAAAAUUUUGACGAUUCUUGAGCUUUUUGCUAGCUUCCGAGCUAUCAGCCAUGCCUUUGACUCCGUUUCGCUGUGGCUUCGCUACGCAGGCUAUGGCUUCGCUAACUGUAUAAACAAAGUCAGUAUUUGCCAAUAAUUUCAACAGAAAGCCAUUUUUGAAACACUUCCUCUACAAAUUUGACAAAUAAUGAAAAAAUAUUGAAAUAAUGAAAAUUUCACGCGGCUGCCAAUAACACACGCGGGCGGGUGACGGUAAACUGAUACCUUAAUUCCAUCGGCCUUAUAUUAUUGCGAAGCCUGCAAAUGACAUAGCUAUUAUGAAACAAGUUUAAAUUUAAAAAAACCGCACCACUCCUAAUGAUUAAUAAAUAACAAAUCCGCCAUUUUGUUUGUCAAAGUUCGCACAUGCUCAGAAUCAAUGUCCGUAAUUUCUGGCCAUGAUUUGUGACUGUGGAAAAUAUCUCGAUUUUCAGAAUUCAGACAUAUUUAUCUCUUAAUAUGGAAAGUAGUUAUUUAGAAGUGUUGAAGUAUUAGAUGCAUCAUUUUGUGCAUGUCAUUCAGAAUUGUGUGAUCAAAAUGCAGGAAAUUGCAUUUUAUAGACUUAAUAUAAAAAAAUUGAAAUUGUCUUGCGCCUUCGGCGUUCGUUUUCCUACACCACCAUUGGCACCAUAAGCACCAUUCCACCCAUGCAAAGGACACCACUGGCACUGCCCAGUGCCCCCAGCCCCAAAAUCCUGUGUAAGGCCUUGCGUCUAGUUAUGGCAUGCUUGAAAUAUUUUAAAUCAGUAUGUGUACAGUUUAGUUUGUGGGUGUGCAAUGUGCCUCCACGUAUCAAUUUUGAGCAAUAUAUUACCUCAACUUUCCAACUACUGGACCGAAUGAUUCGAUUGAUCUAGUUUCCUGACAUUUGAGGCAUGUUUCAUCUUACUGACUGAUUAAUAAUAUACAAAUAAUGAAUGUUUAUGAGUGCAAUGGUAAGAAUAUUUUCAUGAGGUGAAAGAUGGAAUGUUCCAUUCAACGAGGCGACAGCCGAGUUGAAUGGAACAUUCCAUCUUCCACCGAAUGAAAAUAUUCUUACCAUUGCACGAAGAAACAUUCAUUAUUUGUUUUAUAUAAUACCAAAAUAGACUAAUAGAUUCGUAUGAGAAGCAUUUUGAGGGAUGCGAUUUAUCGAAAACACAAAGAGUGCAAUUGUACUAUAUGUUUUAUUCCAUUGCACUCGCGGAGAGUGCAAUGGAACGUGUUCCAUUGCACUCUUGGGAAAUGGAAUUUUCUAUUCAAUAUCACGUGACCAUAAACAGCCAAUUAAACGAUUAGAAUUUAAUAAGGUAUUAUAUAAUAAUUUAUAAUUUAUCAUUAAAAUUUGUUCUAUAUCGUUGUUGCAUGUACCGUGCAUGUAUCUAUUUGUAUAUUUUUAUACAGUUUAUAUUGACAUUUAAUGUUGUAAGUACUAUUGUAGUUUUGAUGCAGUGUAAUUUUGAUUUCAGUGGGGACUGAAAAACACAGACGUAUAUAAUGGUGGGCAGUUUCCACUUACAGAGAAAUAUUUCGCUUGAUUUCUUUUGGAUUCUAACCAUCCGAAUAAAUCAGUUCUACUUGACCGCUCACAAUUAAAAAAAAUUGAGCGAGAAAUUUCGUGGAAAUGUAACUUAAUUGAGCAUAAUCACGUCUGGAAGUACAUACAAAUCACGUGUCCUGCAAUACACCCUUUCGAUAAUUACGUCACACAUAAUUUUUGGUCUUGCAGCCUCGCCCUCAUCAGUAAAUUACGCAAGGUGAUUGGCUCACCAUUCAUGAGAGCGAGGCUCCCAGGCCAAAUUAUGUAAUUAUCGAAAGGGUGUAUUUCGUAAAAUCGCAAAGUUCGGCUCAUUUUUCAACGUAAACGUACGUAAACGUAUAUACGUAUACCGUACGCCGCCUUGUCAUUCGGUCUACACACUAAUCACUAUAUAAAAACAGAUUGGUUAUUAAAAUAACCAAUUUGAAUUAAUUGUGAUCCACUUAUUUGACCAGUAUUUUAUUGGUUGUUGUUUUGGCCAAAUAAUAUUGUUAAAAAAAAAUGGAUCCGAGACAAUUCAAAAUGGUUGUUCAACUAAUCCGUUUUUACAGUUCAUGGAACAGGCGUAUAAACAUUGCCUAUAUUUAACUGGCGCCCAACUGAAUAUCCAAUUUUGAUUUCAUUUUCAGUUCCAAAGUCUUUGGAACAAAGAUCUCUCUCAAGUCUUUGGCAAAGAUCUCACUCCUGUAACCUAUAUGGAGGUUAUAUAAGUCUUAUACUAUAUUUUCACAAACGUCAGUCACGUCUUAGGAAGUCGAUCCUGGAAGUCGAUCCUGGAUCACCCCUUUCUGGAAAAUGUUUUAGGAUCUGUUGAGUGACAAGCUGGCAACCCUUCAACAAAGUUGCUUUUGGCACGAACUGAUUCUCUGACGUUGUCGAUGUGAAUUCGGAAGUUUGCUCUCUUAAUUCUAUGGACUGUGACGUAAUUUGCAUGACAUCAGCCAUUGAAAUAGCUGAACAUUUGCGUUUUUUAAUUUGAUCUUUGAAUCGUUCACAAUGGAAAUUACAGAAGUUAUCUUUGCCUGUGAGGAUUUUGAAGCAUCCAAGAAUUUGCUAUAUAGUCUAUACUCUAUAGAUAAUAAUUAUAGUCGAGAUUAUAGAUACUACAGUCAAAAUACAAUUUCCUUUAUUCACCUACAGGUGAAUGAUGGCGGCCAAGCCGUUUUGUGAAAGUUACUGAUAAAGAAAUAAGCGAAAUUAAAAUAAAUUCAGUCCCAAAAAACACGUCAAAAGACUUGUGUAAAAAUUAAUACUAAAU